rnacentral:rRNA from 1 species
UACGAAGGGGGCUAGCGUUGUUCGGAAUUACUGGGCGUAAAGCGCACGUAGGCGGACUAUUAAGUCAGGGGUGAAAUCCCGGGGCUCAACCCCGGAACUGCCUUUGAUACUGGUAGUCUCGAGUCCGGAAGAGGUGAGUGGAAUUCCGAGUGUAGAGGUGAAAUUCGUAGAUAUUUGGAGGAACACCAGUGGCGAAGGCGGCUCACUGGUCCGGUACUGACGCUGAGGUGCGAAAGCGUGGGGAGCAAACAGG